rnacentral:rRNA from 1 species
UACGUAGGGUGCAAGCGUUGUCCGGAAUUAUUGGGCGUAAAGAGCUUGUAGGCGGUUUGUCGCGUCUGCUGUGAAAUUUCGGGGCUCAACCCCGAACUUGCAGUGGGUACGGGCAGACUAGAGUGUGGUAGGGGAGACUGGAAUUCCUGGUGUAGCGGUGAAAUGCGCAGAUAUCAGGAGGAACACCGGUGGUGUAGACGGCUCUCUGGACCGUAACUGACGCUGAGACACGAAAGCGUGGGUAGCAAACAGG